rnacentral:rRNA from 1 species
UACAGGGGGGGCAAGCGUUGUUCGGAAUUACUGGGCGUAAAGGGCUCGUAGGUGGCCAACUAAGUCAGACGUGAAAUCCCUCAGCUUAACUGGGGAACUGCGUCUGAUACUGGAUGGCUUGAGUUUGGGAGAGGGAUGCGGAAUUCCAGGUGUAGCGGUGAAAUGCGUAGAUAUCUGGAGGAACACCGGUGGCGAAGGCGGCAUCCUGGACCAACACUGACGCUGAGUGAGCGAAAGCGUGGGGAGCAAACAGG